rnacentral:sRNA from 1 species
GAUUUGGAGUCGAAUAUGACUUGAUGUCAUGUGUAUGAUUGAGUAUAAGAACUUAAACUGCAACCGGAUCUUAAAAGCUUGAGUAGUGUUUCCUUGUUAGAAGAUACAAAGCCAAAGACUCAUACGGACUUUGAAAUCUUUAAUC